GACUCUCGGCAAUGGAUAUCUCAGCUCUCGCAUCGAUGAAGAACGUAGCAAAAUGCGAUACUUGGUGUGAAUUGCAGAAUCCCGUGAACGAUCGAGUCUUUGAACGCAAGUUGCACCCCAAGCCUUCUGGCCGAGGGCAUGUAUGCCUGGGUGUCA
rnacentral:rRNA from 1 species